rnacentral:rRNA from 1 species
GGUUACUGCUAUCGGUGUUCGCCUAAGCCAUGCGAGUCAUAUGUUCGUAAGAACAUGGCGUACUGCUCAGUAACACGUGGAUAACCUGCCCUUGGGUCCGGCAUAACCCCGGGAAACUGGGGAUAAUUCCGGAUAACGCACAUAUGCUGGAAUGCUUUUUGCGUAAAAUGGAUUCGACUGCCCAAGGAUGGGUCUGCGGCCUAUCAGGUAGUAGUGGGUGUAAUGUACCUACUAGCCUACGACGGGUACGGGUUGUGAGAGCAAGAGCCCGGAGAUGGAUUCUGAGACAUGAAUCCAGGCCCUACGGGGCGCAGCAGGCGCGAAAACUUUACAAUGCGGGAAACCGUGAUAAGGGGACACCGAGUGCCAGCAUCCUAUGCUGGCUGUCCGGGUGUGUAAAAUACACCUGUUAGCAAGGGCCGGGCAAGACCGGUGCCAGCCGCCGCGGUAACACCGGCGGCCCGAGUGGUGAUCGUGAUUAUUGGGUCUAAAGGGUCCGUAGCCGGUUUGGUCAGUCCUCCGGGAAAUCUGACAGCUCAACUGUUAGGCUAUCGGAGGAUACUGCCAGACUUGGAACCGGGAGAGGUAAGAGGUACUACAGGGGUAGGAGUGAAAUCUUGUAAUCCCUGUGGGACCACCUGUGGCGAAGGCGUCUUACCAGAACUGGUUCGACGGUGAGGGACGAAAGCUGGGGGCACGAACCGGAUUAGAUACCCGGGUAGUCCCAGCCGUAAACGAUGCUCGCUAGGUGUCAGGCAUGGCGCGACCGUGUCUGGUGCCGCAGGGAAGCCGUGAAGCGAGCCACCUGGGAAGUACGGCCGCAAGGCUGAAACUUAA